rnacentral:rRNA from 1 species
GAUGAACGCUAGCGGCAGGCCUAAUACAUGCAAGUCGAACGGUGUCUUCGGACAUAGUGGCGCACGGGUGCGUAACACGUAUGCAACCUACCUUACAUUGGGGGAUAGCCUUUCGAAAGGGAGAUUAAUACCGCAUAAGACAGUAGCUGGGCAUCCAGCGGCUGUUAAAGAUUUAUCGAUGUAAGCUGGGCAUGCGUCCAAUUAGCUAGUUGGUGAGGUAACGGCUCACCAAGGCAAUGAUUGGUAGGGGAACUGAGAGGUCAAUCCCCCACACUGGCACUGAGAUACGGGCAAGACUCCUACGGGAGGCAGCAGUAGGGAAGAUUGGGCAAUGGACGCAAGUCUGACCCAGCCAUGCCGAGUGCAGGAUGAAGGCGUUAUGCGUUGUAAACUGCUUUUAUACAGGAAGAAACGACUCUUGCGAGAGGCAUUGACGGUACUGUAUGAAUAAGCACCGACUAACUCCGUGCCAGCAGCCGCUGUAAUAC